AGAGAGAGAGAGAGAGAGAACUUUCAUAAACCAACAAACAGAAACGAUAGCAAAGCAAUGCAAGCCCCAAAAUAGAGGGAACUCAAGAUUCUUGCCAUGAACUUUACCUGCUACAUCUUUCUGGCUAAAACGAAACAGAAGCAGCAUUUAUCAUCUUUUUAGUGGGAUUCAUUUCAUGGCUACUAAGCUUGUCCAACCCGCUUCUCAGGUGCUUCCUCCCGUACCCAGAAUCACAAAGAUUAUAACAAGUCACAAGUCAUUCCUAGCCAUUCAUCCAUGGACGAGGAACACAAGAAUUGAUGAUGGGUUUAUGCCAAUUCAUAUCACCAAAGUUGCAGAAAAAAGCUCUGGCUUAGUUGGGGACAACAAGGAGAUGGAACAACAUGAAAAAGAUAGCAGGACAGUUUCACAGAUCAAAGAAGACCUUUACCAGGCAGUAGAAGGUAUGCCCCCAUAAUUUUAAACCCACAUUUUUUGACAUUACAUAACUUAUUGAACUUCAUUAGUAGUUCGAAAUGAAUACUCAAAUGGGUUGCAUUUAAAUAUGAUAUAGUUUUAUCUGCAAGGAAAUCUGAAAUUAGUGAAAAGGAGUUAUAACUUGACUGGCUGGAUAAUGUAUAGAUGUUAUGUGGCACCAGUGAACCAUUUAUUGCUGCAUCGUUUUAUUGCAAGAUACUUGGAUUAGAUCUCUCAUGCUUCAUAUCCUGCUUGGAUCUGGAGUUCCUCUUGUUCUCAUAUACACAUUGUUGUAAUUAUGAGGAUAUUAGUUUUCAGUUAAUGAUUAUUUACUUGGGAACUUGGAAGUUAUGAACCAUUACAAAGUUUCUGAUGUCUCAGUAGAGUAGAUACUUUCAGCCAGCAUCUCCAUUCCAGAUUCCUUAGUUUGUUCUGCAUAAAUUACAGAUGAAACUUUCAUUAACAACUUAACUUAUAUAGGGUUAUUCCUCCUGUAUAGUGGUAAGGUUAUCUGUGAAAGUGUUAAACUAGAGGCCAAAGUUAACUUCCAUAUUUAGUUUGCCUCUAAUUUUAGUUUACGACACUAAGGCUCUGUUUAUUUUAUGGAAAAUAUACUGGUCAAAUAGAAAACUAAUUCAUUUAAGAAAAAUGACUUUUACUUUUCAAAAAAGAGAGUCAUUUUCUAUUUUCAAGACUUUGAUAAUCUUGUUAAAAUGUGAAAAUGUUUAUAUAAAUGAAAUAAAUACAUAUCAUUAGUUUAACAUUGCAAUCAAAUAAUAGAAAAUAUUUUCAUGCAAAAUUUUUUUUAGAAAACAUUUUCCAUGGAAAAUAUUUUCUAGAUACAAAUUAUUUUUUGUAAAACAGUCGGAGCCCAAAAGUGAAAAAGAUUUAGAUACUUGUUGCAAACUGCAGGGUUAGCACUGAUUGCUUAGCUUUAUGCUUCUGGAUAGAAAUACACUUUUGGGAUUAGUUUGUCACUAUACAGUUUUGGGAAUUAGCACUGAUUGCUGGUGGGAAAUGUUUGGAUUCAGAAAUGAAAUAUAUUAUCAAUGUGAGUAUGAUUGCUAAAAUUGAUAUACAUAUAAAAGGUUUGGAUUGAAAAUUAAAUGAAUUGAUUAAAAUUGGUAAUAUGGGCAAAUAUUUUAAUUAUUUUUUUGACAUCACAUAAUGAAUUUCAUCAGCUAUUUGAAAUGAAUACUGAAAUGGGUUGCAUUCAAAUUUUGAUACAAGGAAUUAACAGAGGGAUUUUUGGAAUUCCUUCUGCAAAGAAAUCAGAAAUUCAUGGUUUAGUGGAGCUAUUAGAGUCUCAGAAUCCAACUCCAGAUCCCACUCUAAAUCUAGAUAAGGUAAAUCCAUUCAGCUUUCUGUGAUCGUGCAAGCUUACAUAAAAAUCAAGUAGUUACAGUUCUUUUUUCUAAAAUUGAAAGGUGGAUGGUUGCUGGAAACUUUUGUACAGUACAAUUACUAUACUGGGGUCAAAAAGAACAAAGCUAGGACUCAGAGAUUUCAUCAGUUUGGGGGACUUCUUCCAGAAAAUUGAUGUUUCUAAGGCCAAAACGAUUAAUUUGAUCAAGUUCAACGUUAGAGGAUUGAAUUUGUUGAAUGGACAGCUGACAAUUGAAGCCUCUUUCAAGACCUCAUCUAACUCAAGAGUUGAAAUAAGUUUUGAGAAUUCAACUAUCACUCCUCAUCAGGUAUGCCAGAUCAGUCACCAUUUUUAAGGGAAAAUUACUAUUUAGUCACUCUAUUUUUAUAAAACUAAUUAAUUGGUCCUAUUAUUGUGAAAAAUAUGUUAGUCCCUGUAUUUUUGUUUUGUUUACUCUUUAGUCUCUUUAUCUAAUUUAAAUCAAGUUUCUGUUAGUAAAUGCAUUCAACGGAGAGAGAAAUUACCAUUAGGGGACUAAAUAGUUUAAGACUUUAAAAUAAAGGGACUUUAAAAUAAAGGGACUAUAUAGUUGUCAUUUUCAAAUUACAGAGACUGAAUUAAAUUUAAACUAACGAUUAAAAUAACCGAAGAGACUAAGGAGUAAACAAAAUAAAAAUACAGAGACUAACUAAUGUAUUUUCCAAAAUAAAAGAACUAAGCAGUUAAUUUCGUUAAAAUGGAGAGACUAAAUAAUUAUUAUUUUUUAAUUAUGCUCAAAGACUGAUUAAAUGGAUUAUCAUAGGGAGCUUUCUUGUUUGACUAACUAAAAAAUGCAUAUGUUUUGUUGUUCGCUAAACAUCAACAGUUGAUGAACAUGUUUCGGAAGAACUACGAUCUUCUUCUUGGCAUCUUCAACCCCGAGGGUUGGCUCGAGAUCACGUAUCCUUUUAGCCUUUCUUUGUUUGUGUUGUGUUUUGGUAGUUGGAGAUUUGAAAUGAAUGAAUUUAAAUUUGGCCUUUUCAAUCUAAAUUAUACAUUGUAUAGAUCGAUGAACAGUAGAAACUUUCUUGAAAAUGAAUUUCAAAUCCUCAUAUCAAAUAUUUCUAUAAAAUUUAGUUGAAACAUCUGUUUUCCUCCGAUUUCUCAAGUCUAUCCUUUUUUUAAUUAACACGAUUGAAAAACAAUCUUUGAGAACAGUAAUUUUAUGGGAGUUCUAUAAUCGCAAAUGAUGCGUUUGAUCCUUGACUUGAUUACAAUAGAUAUGUUGAUGAUAACUUAAGGAUAGGGAGGGAUGACAAUGGCAACAUCUUCGUAUUAGAGAGAUCAUAAAGAAAUUAAUGAACACUAAGUACCUAUAAGCUUGAGAGAAACUCAAGUUUAGAACUUUGUUUUUAUUAUUAUUGAUAUACAUUCCUGCAAAUUGCUAUUUUUUUUAAUAUUUCAGCUGAAAUUUUACAUUUUCAUGUUUUAAACAAAUGGUUAAAAAGGGAAAUUUGCCACACAUUGCUGAGUGAUUGAUAAGGGAACAUAUAAUUCCUUGAGAGAAGGUUUUGGCGUGAAUAACGGCCCCAGUUUGAUUAAAGUGAAUUGCAUGGAAUAAGGCUACUAACUCAAUUAUAAUCGAAAAAUCAAAUCAAAUUAAAUUUGAUUUUUUUUUAAAUUUAACUAUUUAAUUUAUUCAUUCCGAUUUAAUUAUUAAAAAUAUCAGUUAAUUCGAUUUUGAAGGAAAAUACAAAAUAAUUGAAUCAAAUGGAAACAAAUAUAUAUGUAUAUAUAGUUUUUCAUCUUACCGUACGCUCAACAUUGAUUUACUCAUCAUAUAAACUCAUGA
rnacentral:misc_RNA from 1 species